rnacentral:rRNA from 1 species
AGCGAACGCUGGCGGCAGGCUUAACACAUGCAAGUCGAGCGGGCAUCCUUGUGGUGUCCGCGGCAGACGGGUGAGUAACGCGUGGGAACGUGCCCUUCGUUUCGGAAUAACUCAGGGAAACUUGCGCUAAUACCGGAUACGUGCGAGAGCAGAAAGGUUUAUCUGCCGAAGGAUCGGCCCGCGUCUGAUUAGCUAGUUGGUGAGGUUACGGCUCACCAAGGCGACGAUCAGUAGCUGGUCUGAGAGGAUGAUCAGCCACACUGGGACUGAGACACGGCCCAGACUCCUACGGGAGGCAGCAGUGGGGAAUAUUGGACAAUGGGGGCAACCCUGAUCCAGCCAUGCCGCGUGAGUGAUGACGGCCUUAGGGUUGUAAAGCUCUUUUCUCCGGGACGAUAAUGACGGUACCGGAGGAAUAAGCCCCGGCUAACUUCGUG